rnacentral:ncRNA from 1 species
AACAUAAAGUUUUGGUCCUAAACUUGCCCUUGUUUUUUAUCAAAAUUACACAUGCAAGCUUCCACACACCAGUGAGAAUGCCCAAACACCCCUAAUCAGCCAACCGGAGCAGGUAUCAGGAUACAACACUAUUUUAGCCAAAGACACCUUGCUUAUGCCACACCCACACGGGUUUUCAGCAGUGAUUAACAUUAAAACAUGAGCGAAAGCUCGACUUAGUUAUGAUAAACAUGGUCGGUAAAUUUCGUGCCAGCCACCGCGGUUAUACGAAAGACCAAAAACAAGGGCCAACGGCGUAAAGCGUGACUUGGGCAAAAAUAAUUAAAGGGGCACAGCGGCCAAGUCGUAAAACACUACUGCACGCUAGAACCUCAACAAAAUACCUUUAAUAUACCUCACCUCACGAAAGCUAAGAAACAAACUGGGAUUAGAUACCCCACUAUGCUUAGCCCUAAACACAGAUAGUACAAACACAAUACUAUCCGCCAGAGAACUACAAGCGAAAAGCUCGAAACUCUAAGGACUUGGCGGUGCUUCAAACCAACCUAGAGGAGCCUGUCCUAUAAUCGAUACCCCACGUUCUACCUCACCCCUCCUAGCCAACCAGCCUAUAUACCGCCGUCGCCAGCCCACCUUGUGAAAGAAACAAAGUGGGCAAAACAAUUUUUAAUUAAUACGUCAGGUCAAGGUGUAGCAAACGGAGCGGAAGAGAUGGGCUACAUUUCUUCAAAGAAGAAACACGAAUAGUGUAUUGAAAUACACACUUGAAGGCGGAUUUAGUAGUAAGAUAAACAAGAAUAAUUAUCUAAAACCUGCUCUGAAGCGCGCACACACCGCCCGUCACCCUCAUCACAUGUAAUACAACAUAAAAUAUUAUACACAGUACAACUCAAAUGAGGC